UCUGGAUUAAUAUAGUGUACGUGUGUAUCAACGCCACCUGCUGUUACGAUUUGUCCUUCAGCAGACAUAACCUCUGUCGCUGUUCCAACUACCAUAUUAGGCGUUACACCACCCAUCGUAUCUGGGUUACCACCUUUACCAAUACCGACGAUAUAACCAUCUUUUACUCCAAUAUCAGCUUUAUAAAUACCUGUGUAAUCAAGGAUUAAAGCGUUAGUAAUUAGUAAGUCAAGAACAUUCUCUGCACGUGUACGAAUACCGUCUUGUCCCAUACCCUCACG
rnacentral:sRNA from 1 species